rnacentral:rRNA from 1 species
AUUGAACGCUGGCGGCAGGCCUAACACAUGCAAGUCGAGCGGAUGAAGGGAGCUUGCUCCUGGAUUCAGCGGCGGACGGGUGAGUAAUGCCUAGGAAUCUGCCUGGUAGUGGGGGAUAACGUCCGGAAACGGGCGCUAAUACCGCAUACGUCCUGAGGGAGAAAGUGGGGGAUCUUCGGACCUCACGCUAUCAGAUGAGCCUAGGUCGUAUUAGCUAGUUGGUGGGGUAAAGGCCUACCAAGGCGACGAUCCGUAACUGGUCUGAGAGGAUGAUCAGUCACACUGGAACUGAGACACGGUCCAGACUCCUACGGGAGGCAGCAGUGGGGAAUAUUGGACAAAGGGCGAAAGCCUGAUCCAGCCAUGCCGCGUGUGUGAAGAAGGUCUUCGGAUUGUAAAGCACUUUAAGUUGGGAGGAAGGGCAGUAAGUUAAUACCUUGCUGUUUUGACGUUACCAACAGAAUAAGCACCGGCUAACUUCGUG